CACUGUAUAAAAACAUCGAAAAUUUGUACGGGUGGUGUAGUUGAGCACAAGACAUUAGAAGAGAUGUUGAAAAUGGUACUUGCACUUGUAUCUUUUGUGUUGGUUGUUUCCUGUGCCACAGCAAGCGCAGCAUCAAAAUCAGAGCUCGCUUUGCAAACCAAACAAUUGCUGCCUCUAGGCAAUUUAAUUUCUGGUAUUUUGGGGUGUUUAUUUAACGGUCUUCAGAAUAUCACCCAAACCGACGUGUCAUCCGUGGUAGGAGAACUGGGAGAAAUUUUGUUCGAGAUAGGACUUUGUACCAAUUUUAACUUAAGCGACCCGGGACAAUUGGUAGCGACAAUAGGAUGUCUUUUGGAUAACGCCGCAAGUAUAACUGGAAGUCAACUUGUCGACAUCGUGCGGGCACUACAAGGAAUCAUAUUAAAGACUAAUGGCAUAGUUGUAUGUUUAAGGGAACUUGGCAGGAGCCUAUGUGGAUGCACGCUAAUUCCAUUGUUAUGCGACCUUGCAGGCUCUAACAUUUUACUCGGUCUGAUUAACCUUUUGCUAAAUUCUAUUCUUUUUCAACUUGUUUGCGGUAUAAUUACUGGUUAGUUAACAUUAGUUUAUAAAUUCUAUCUAAGGAUCUAAUUAGAUGUUAAAAUUUCUUAUAGGUGGUGGAUUUUAGUCUCGUAUAUUAAAUGUAGCUAGUUCUGAA